rnacentral:rRNA from 1 species
GACGAACGCUGGCGGCGUGCUUAACACAUGCAAGUCGAACGGAAAGGCCCUGCUUUUGUGGGGUGCUCGAGUGGCGAACGGGUGAGUAACACGUGAGUAACCUGCCCUUGACUUUGGGAUAACUUCAGGAAACUGGGGCUAAUACCGGAUAGGAGCUCCUGCUGCAUGGUGGGGGUUGGAAAGUUUCGGCGGUUGGGGAUGGACUCGCGGCCUAUCAGCUUGUUGGUGGGGUAGUGGCUUACCAAGGCUUUGACGGGUAGCCGGCCUGAGAGGGUGACCGGCCACAUUGGGACUGAGAUACGGCGCAGACUCCUACGGGAGGCAGCAGGGGGGAAUAUUGCACAGUGGGCGGAAGCCUGAUGCAGCAGCGCCGCGUGCGGGAUGACGGCCUUCGGGUUGUAAACCGCUUUCGCCUGUGACGAAGCGUGAGUGACGGUAAUGGGUAAAGAAGCACCGGCUAACUACGUG